rnacentral:sRNA from 1 species
CCCACAGGCAGGCUGCCACGGGUGCUAAA